rnacentral:rRNA from 1 species
CACGUAGGGGCCAAGCGUUGUCCGGAUUUCUUGGGCGUAAAGAGCUCGUAGGCUGCUCGGUAAGUCGGGUGUGAAACCUCCAGGCUCAACCUGGAGACGCCACCCGAUACUGCUGUGGCUAGAGUCCGGUAGGGGAGCGUGGAAUUCCUGGUGUAGCGGUGAAAUGCGCAGAUAUCAGGAGGAACACCAGCGGCGAAGGCGGCGCUCUGGGCCGGAACUGACGCUGAGGAGCGAAAGCGUGGGUAGCAAACAGG